rnacentral:lncRNA from 1 species
UGAAAUUAGGGUGCCACUAGUUUUCCUUGAUUAGACAGGUUUGUGUCGGACACUUACACGCAUAAGGGUUAGUUUGCUUAACAAAGUUAACUUAACGGUUAAGGACCUUGGGGCAUAAAGGUUGGGUGCCAAGACAUGGAGAUGUUACCCAACAACAGGAGUCAUAUGUGAUAUGAUUAGCAAAAGUUGCCUACCGAUCUACCUUGUUUGCUAGCGGUGAUGCUAAAGCUCACUAGUAGACUUGUUAGUUGUGGAUCCUAAAUCACUAAGUGUCAAUAGAGGGAUAUUGAUUUUAG